ACGGAAGGCAGCAGUGGGGAAUAUUGCACAAUGGGGGAAACCCUGAUGCAGCGACGCCGCGUGAGUGAAGAAGUUAUUCGUAAUGUAAAGCUCUAUCAGCAGGGAAGAAAAUGACGGUACCUGACUAAGAAGCCCCGGCUAACUACGUGCCAGCAGCCGCGGUAAUACGUAGGGGGCGAGCGUUGUCCGGAAUUACUGGGCGUAAAGGGUGCGUAGGUGGUCGACUAAGUUGGAUGUGAAAUCCCCGGGCUUAACUUGGGGUCUGCAUCCAAAACUGGCCGACUAGAGUGCAGGAGAGGAAAGCGGAAUUCCUAGUGUAGCGGUGAAAUGCGUAGAUAUUAGGAGGAACACCAGUGGCGAAGGCGGCUUUCUGGACUGUAACUGACACUGAGGCACGAAAGCGUGGGGAGCAAACAGGAUUAGAUACCCUGGUA
rnacentral:rRNA from 1 species